rnacentral:misc_RNA from 1 species
ACCUUCUGUAUCUAUUGAGGUAAAGAGCCUUCAAAUCUAUCGUCUCUGCCAGAUUUAGGGUUUGGACUCUUCUAAAUCAUCUAUUGAUUCUGUUUUCUUCGAUUUAUUUCUCAUCUCGCAAAAAAAUAUAAUUUUUUUUUAUUUUGAUUUUGGUAUCUCUUGCUAGGGAUUAGAAAAUUGAUUUCUUGAAAGGGUGUGUUGCUCGGCAAGGUUGGAUAUUUGAUGAGAUUUGUUUUCACAAGGUUAGCUCAGCUUAUUUUUCACGAUAACCCUUUCGCAUGUUUAUAACACUGUUUGUUUCUUGAGAAAAUUGAGGAGAACAAUGGAAAUCCCUUUUGAGGUUGAACUAGAAUUCUAAUUCAUGUGUCUUUUGCUCCGCGAUUAAGCCUGUUAUGCAUAUAAAAUUAGCUUUUUUUCAUUCACAAAUAAAUUGAUUAUCUCAGCUUUUAAUUUAUGCACAGUAUGUUGUUGUUGGGCUUCAUCAGUUGAUUAUAGUUGAAACUUUUUGGUGGUUGGUUUCCUGAGCUAUUACUUAAUCCAAUAUUAUUUGCCAAAUUAAAUCUCACUUAUUGUUAGUUGAAAAUGAUUUUUGGUGAUGUUACUGCUUCUUUAACAUGUUGCAUAUAAUCAAACAUUUGAACUCUAAUUCUUGUAUGCUUAGUUUCAAUUUGCUUUUGAAAUACUGCAAUGGAAUGAACUGGUAUGAAUUACUGCAUUGAAAGCAUUUUGAUUUUGCAGGACGAAAAUUUUUUUGCACUUGAAGCUUGGUAUUGAGCAACAUUCAUCUGGAGUUCAGAUACUUUGUAUAGUCAAGUCUGUGGAAAAAUGCCUAGGGAUUUGUCACGAUCGCGAUCUCGGUCACCCUCAUAUAGGCGAAGGCGUUCGCCAUUGCCAGUGGGGCAUAGGUAUAGCAAGAGGAGCCGAAGGGAUAGGAGCCGAUCUCCAUAUUCAUCCUAUUCUUAUAGCAGGUGAUCCCGUUUAUGUUCUCCCUAUUUAAGUUGAUCUAAUUUUAUCCUCUAGGAGUUGUAAUAAACAUUGAGGACUCAUGUAUUUUUGUUGCCGAUUGGAAAUACAAUUGUUCAAGUUGAUCUGUACGCAUCUUAUCCUUCUCCAUUGAUCUUUUGGGGCUUAUCUAUCUUUUAUUUUAUCCUCUUGCUAUUAUGCAUGUUGUCUAUAACAAUUUUCUUUGAGUUUUAUCUUGGAUGACAUCUGAAUCUGAUGUUAUUAACUUGAAAGGUUAAGUUAGAUAACUUGAAUACUAACUUAAGGCAUUAGUAUCAUUAUAAAAUCCCAUAAUGCGGAACUUGGUCUUAGUAUCUUGUUAAAUGAAUUUUUCCCCUUCAUUUGUAAUCUUAUUAUAUUUAAAAAUAUUUGGCAAGUUUUCUUUCAUCCAAGAGCAUGGCAGGGUGAAAUUUUACAUAGGGGCUAGAUAUGUGAUUCUAAGAUUCCUCUGUUGGAAACCAUAUUUAAUGCUUCAAAGUUCAGCUAGCAAAUUAGUGAGAAGAUUCCACAUGAUACUGCUUUAAAAUGGAACCAUGUGGAAGUUGAUCAUUGUUUCGGCUUCUUUGUUUACUGCUCUGAGUGCUUUCAGUGGAUGGGAAACGAAUGACUUGAUUGUUUACUUUGGUAUAAUUGUGAAAUUUUGUUGUUCAGAAAGAUUUGUCUCCAUGGAUUCCAUUAAUAUUUUCUUGAUACAUAGGAGUUAAUGUUUGACAACCCUCAUGCCAAUGGUUAAGCCAUGUUGAUUUUGUCUAAAGUCUGUAUUGAUUAUGUUUCUCAACUGAUAAUCAAUGUUAAUUAUCAAUAUUUCAAUGGGCUUCUGCUUUUGGGGAACUUACCAUUUGCAUGGAAAGGUGGAGAGAUGCCAAAUAUAUUCUUUGGAGAAAAGUACAAAGAGUGCUUUAAGAGUGCCAUAGGAUUCAUGCUCUUUGUAAGAAAUUUUAGAAACUCAGUUUCUUCUCGUCAUAUGGGAUGGGAAGUGAGCAGGUGAUGGGUGCCGAUGGGUGUCCUUUUGUUGCUCGAUUGUGAUAUUAGCUUCUUCAUGUGAUAAAAGAUGGAGCACACAAUGGUUAUUCUUAACAAUGUAUGAGGUAACUGUAUUGCUUCUAUUUUAAUUGCGGUAAAUGGUGGGAGGGUUAAUUAUUAUGUGCGCUAAUGAUGCACUUUUUGUUGUUGUUACUCAAUAAUCUUUUUUAUAUUACACAGACGGAGAAGUCGUUCUAUUUCUCCACGACGUCGCAAAAGUCGUUCUCCAACUCCAAGGCGUUAUAAGAGGCAAAGAAGUAGGAGUUCCUCAUUGUCUCCUACUCUUAAAUCUUCUAGCCCAAGUCUUGUGUCAAUGGAGCACAAAAUUGCUAGUGAAAAUUUGAGAAAAGAAGGCGAAGAAGAGAAGAAGAGGUAUAUCAACCACUUUACAUUUUAGUUCAGAGUGUUAUCAUAGUUCUACUUUCUUGCAUUGGGUCCAGCUUUAAAUUUCACAGUUGCUUAUGUUUCAUUUAACUUUUGGGCCAUUUAUGAAAAGAUUACUUAGUUGGGGAGAAUGUAUACUUGGGGAUUAAUUUAUUGCUGUCAUUUAAGUUAUUGUAUCUGAGUUGAGAGGCUCAGAACACUGGUGUUCAUUUUUAUAUUGGUCCCUGUAUGUUGUAUUGUUAAGCUGAAGAAUAAUAUUCGGCAGCCCACCUGGUAAAAAAGGAGCUUCUAUACAUUGACUAUCAUUUUAUAUAAGAGAUGCUUGUAUAAUCUGGUCUAAAUUGAUUUUAAAAAAAUUAGAUGCUAGUGAACAUAUGGUUUGCAUUAAAACAGGAAGUUUUCUGGUAAUUGCUUUAUAUUGGCCAGGUACUGGCUGAAUGGGUAAUUUUGAUCGUUAGUUGCUUUCUAUAAAUUUUCCAUGUGCUGCUAGACCUUUGUGUCUGUCCCCCUCCCCUUCAGAAAAAAAAAAGGGCAAUUUAAUAUUUUUCGAUUAUGAUAUGCAGUGCAUUAUCAAUAUCAUUGCUGCAUCAUUUCCCUAUUUCAAUACUAGUAAGGUUGAAGAAAGAUAUUUCAAUGGAAGCAUAUUUGUCCACUAAUUAUGAGUACUUUAGUGCUACUUUUCUUCUUCUUUCACAUGCCCACAAAUGCUUGAAGACUUCAUUGACUAUUUAGGCAUCAGACCAUAAUAAGAUGAAGUUAAUUCAAUUUUUUUUCUGCCUUCAAUCUGACCUCCUGCUUAAUGUUUUUAACUUUGAAAUAUUAUGGCCAAGAAUAACCAUUUUUAAAGAAUAUAUUCCAUAUAUUGGGAAUUUUUAUUUAUUAUUUCUCAUUUCUAAUGUGUAUUCCAUGAAUAAAGGUUGUCAAGUUUCACUUUUUGCUUAUCCAACAUGAUACAUGUAUUUUUGACUCUUGGGGUGGCAGUUAGGAGCUCCUUAAGAACCUUCCAUUGCCAAUUAGGGAUAACUUGUUUUCUAACCCAUUCACUGAGAGAUCUUUGUUUGACUUCUGAGGUUUGAGGAAAGGGCAUCAGUUUGGCUAUGAUAUAUGUAUUGCAAUGUGGAAAAGUACAGGAUUUCCAACUAUAGGUCAGUUUGAUGUGGCAAGCUGGGGCUGUGACAGAUGACCAUUGCUAAAAAUUAAAUUUUCUCUUCUCAAUGGGUCUAACAUUUUACUUCACUUCUUGGCAGUAACUUCCUCAUUUAGAAUAACCAAUAGACAUUGAUUAUUGUAACAAUUUAAAGAAAUAAUUUAACCAGAAGUGACUUGAGCUUAUUCAAUAAAUCAAGUGCCCUCUGGUAUUCUACUGUUGACAAAUUGUAUUUUACUCAGUUUACCCUAGUUUCAUAAGCCUGUGUUGAGUAUAAUGAAAAGCUGUCCAUUUUGACCUCCAGUUGUGCUGUGUGCCUUUAACUGGACCACAAAUCCUUCUGUAAAGGGCUUUCUUGACAUCAAAUUCAUCUUGCCAAGUUGCAUUGCUAGUGCUUUGUUUCUCCUUGUUUAUAUUUCUCUUUAAACAUGGUAUUACUGGAUUUUGUCAUUGCACUGGGGGCUUGGCACCAUUGACUAUGAACAUGCCACCCAAAACAAAAAGAACAUAUAGAAAUCUUCCUGUUGCAAAUUGUAUUUUGGUGCUAGAAUUAAACUAUUUUGGUGAUUAGUUUUAAAGCUGCAGCAGGUUACUUGACAUUCUUUUCCACAGGCUUUUCUGAAGGAAGAUACUGCUAUUGUUCAACUUGUUAUAUUUGAUGAUGAAAUUGGGUGCUUUGUUUAUCUACUAUUCACCAGUUUUGAUACUCAUUUGUUUGGAUCAGGAUUCUGUUAGAGGCGUCAACAGGAAGCAGAACUAAAA